AUUUUCUUUAAACUUAAAGGAUUUGGCGGUGAUUUAGUCUAAUCAGAGGAACCUGCUUUUGAAUCGAUAUAACACGUAAAAUUUUACUUAUUUUUGUUUAGUUUGUAUACCAUCAUUAUUAGAUAAUUUUGUAAAAAAUAAAAUUAUUAAAUUUAAUUAAAUUAUAAAAAUUAGAUCAAGGUGCAGCUUAUAAAUAAGUUAAAGUGGGUUACAAUAAGAUUUACUUAAACGGAUUAAGGUCAGUAAGAAGCCUUGAGAAGGGGGAUUUGAUUGUAAUAUAAAUUUAAUAAGAUUAGGAGAUAAAAGCUCUAAAUUGUGUACACAUCGCC
rnacentral:rRNA from 1 species